UACGUAGGGUACGAGCGUUAAUCGGAAUUACUGGGCGUAAAGCGUGCGCAGGCGGUCCGCAAAGUCUGAUGUGAAAGCCCCGGGCUCAACCUGGGAACUGCAUUGGAAACUAACGGGCUCGAGUGUGGCAGAGGGGGGUGGAAUUCCACGUGUAGCAGUGAAAUGCGUAGAGAUGUGGAGGAACACCGAUGGCGAAGGCAGCCCCCUGGGCUAACACUGACGCUCAGGCACGAAAGCGUGGGGAGCAAACAGG
rnacentral:rRNA from 1 species